rnacentral:sRNA from 2 species
GGACAGUCAUCGCCGAGUCCCCGCAUGGCGCGAGCCAGGGGAGCCGGGGACCCACGUAGUCCCUGGGGUGAAUCGGACGCCCUCCCCGGAGGGGGUCCGUAGGAGACCUUCCUGCUCCGAACCCGUCAGCUAACCCGGUAGGCGAGAAGGAAGGAAAGG